UACGUAGGGGGCAAGCGUUGUCCGGAUUUAUUGGGCGUAAAGAGCGUGUAGGCGGCCUGACAGGUCUGCUGUGAAAACUCGAGGCUCAACCUCGAGAUGUCGGCGGAAACCGUCUGGCUAGAAUCCGGAAGAGGCGAGUGGAAUUCCUGGUGUAGCGGUGGAAUGCGCAGAUAUCAGGAGGAACACCAAUAGCGAAGGCAGCUCGCUGGGACGGUAUUGACGCUAAGGCGCGAAAGCGUGGGGAGCAAACAGG
rnacentral:rRNA from 1 species